CAGAGGGGCGGGCGGUCGUCCCCCUCCCCCUCGAACGAAGGUUCGAAUCUCGCAAGAGCGGGAGUAGCUGCGGUAAGUGCAGCUCUGCACCAAUUACCAGCCAUUAACCAGAUAAUUCGAUCCUCGAAGAGAACACGGAGGACGUUCUCAAGGGUCGUGCCUUCCGUCCUCUAACCAGUCAUAUCAACGACUAAUUGCCAACGCUUGGGAAAAAAGCGUCGUCCCCGAUGAAAUCCAUCCUCGAGCACCGGGUUUCGUCUCGAGAAACGAAGGGAAAAUAAUAUCGUGUAAAAAAUAAUAUUUAAAGAAAAGAUCCAUCCAGUGAGAAACGAAUGGUUCGAUCUUGCGACGAAUCUUUGGAAUAAAUACAUAAUCAGUCGGGUUUUUAGAAGAAGGAUUUAUUUUGGAAAAGUAUCUUAUAACGAUGUUUGAGAAGUUAAACAUUUGCUGUUCAACUUGCGCCGCCUUUAUUAGUCCAUCUCUCGCCGGUUACCGAUACGUUCAUUCAAUAUUGACUUUUAUAACAAUCCGAUAACUUUUCAGAUAACGUACGGACGGAACGUUCAAACGUUUUAACGUAAACGUUCGGUUACACGGUCGGAGGAAAGUACGUAUUUCGUUCAGAUUCAGCUCUCUCCCUCUCUCUCCCUAUCCCCUCCACUCUAUAUCUUUCCAAUACACGAUCCGAGCACACUCUUCUGCACACUUAUUUGCACAGGCGUGGCAAACAAACUAGUAGCGCCACCUACUAAUUUCGGUGAUCCGACGCAGACGGUUGACGGUUUACUCGUAUUAAUUCAAACAGUGGUAAUAUCGGUGGCCGUAAAACACGAAUACUUUUAAUUCGCGGCCGUUCUUUAAUAUUCGUCUCUUCGCUCGCCGUGCGUAACGCGAGGAUGGAAAAAAAGGCGAAUUCGAUGGAUCGUGAAGCGUGGACCCAUCGUGGUCGGGAAAGGAGGGAAGGAGAGAGAAGUGGCGGAAGAAGGACGGGCAGCGCAAGUGGUCUGAAGGAGCUUCUCCAAACUUGAAAUCCACCGGUCCGUGUCGCUGACGACGUUCAAUUUUCUUCGAUCUGGCCGUCAAACCGUCCAAAUAAAGACGAAAACGUUA